UGGGGAAUAUUGCACAAUGGAGGGAACUCUGAUGCAGCGACGCCGCGUGAACGAAGAAGGCUUUCGAGUCGUAAAGUUCUUUUAUAUGGGAUGAAAAUGACAGUACCAUAAGAAUAAGGUCCGGCUAAAUACGUGCCAGCAGCCGCGGUAAUACGUAUGGACCGAGCGUUGUCCGGAAUCAUUGGGCGUAAAGGGUACGUAGGCGGCCCAGUAAGUUAGAAGUGAAAUAAUAUAGCUCAACUAUAUAAAGCUUUUAAAACUGCUAGGCUUGAGAGAUGGAAGGGAAAGUGGAAUUCCUAGUGUAGCGGUGAAAUGCGCAGAUAUUAGGAAGAAUACCGGUGGCGAAGGCGACUUUCUGGUCAUCAUCUGACGCUGAGGUACGAAAGCGUGGGUAGCAAACAGG
rnacentral:rRNA from 1 species